rnacentral:rRNA from 1 species
AGAGUUUGAUCCUGGCUCAGGACGAACGCUGGCGGCGUGCUUAACACAUGCAAGUCGAACGGUGAAGUCCCUUCGGGGGCGGAUCAGUGGCGAACGGGUGAGUAACACGUGGGCAAUCUGCCCCUCACUGUGGGAUUACUCCGGGAAACCGGGGCUAAUACCGCAUAUGAAGCCUGGCGGCAUCGCCGGGUUUGGAAAGUUUUUCGGUGAGGGAUGAGCCCGCGGCCUAUCAGCUUGUUGGUGAGGUAAUGGCUCACCAAGGCGACGACGGGUAGCCGGCCUGAGAGGGCGACCGGCCACACUGGGACUGAGACACGGCCCAGACUCCUACGGGAGGCAGCAGUGGGGAAUAUUGGGCAAUGGGCGAAAGCCUGACCCAGCGACGCCGCG